rnacentral:rRNA from 1 species
AUUGAACGCUGGCGGCAUGCCUUACACAUGCAAGUCGAACGGCAGCACGGGUGCUUGCACCUGGUGGCGAGUGGCGAACGGGUGAGUAAUACAUCGGAACAUGUCCUGUAGUGGGGGAUAGCCCGGCGAAAGCCGGAUUAAUACCGCAUACGAUCCACGGAUGAAAGCGGGGGACCUUCGGGCCUCGCGCUAUAGGGUUGGCCGAUGGCUGAUUAGCUAGUUGGUGGGGUAAAGGCCUACCAAGGCGACGAUCAGUAGCUGGUCUGAGAGGACGACCAGCCACACUGUGACUGAGACACGGCCCAGACUCCUACGGGAGGCAGCAGUGGGGAAUUUUGGACAAUGGGCGAAAGCCUGAUCCAGCAAUGCCGCGUGUGUGAAGAAGGCCUUCGGGUUGUAAAGCACUUUUGUCCGGAAAGAAAUCCUUGGCUCUAAUACAGUCGGGGGAUGACGGUACCGGAAGAAUAAGCACCGGCUAACUACGUG